UACAGAGGUGGCAAGCGUUGUUCGGAAUUACUGGGCGUAAAGGGCGCGUAGGCGGUUCGUUAAGUCCUGUGUGAAAUCCCCCGGCUCAACUGGGGAACUGCACAGGAAACUAGCGGGCUUGAGUUCGGGAGAGGGAAGCGGAAUUCCGGGUGUAGCGGUGAAAUGCGUAGAUAUCCGGAGGAACACCGGUGGCGAAGGCGGCUUCCUGGACCGACACUGACGCUGAGGCGCGAAAGCUAGGGGAGCAAACGGGAUUAGAUACCCCGGUAGUCCUAGCUGUAAACGAUGAGUGCUGGGUGUAGGGGGUAUUAACCCCCCCUGUGCCGAAGCUAACGCAUUAAGCACUCCGCCUGGGGAGUACGGUCGCAAGGCUGAA
rnacentral:rRNA from 1 species